rnacentral:snRNA from 1 species
UUUGGCAUCGCACAAAAUGAAAUUGGAACCAUAUAGAAAAGGUUAGCAGGGCCCCUGUGAGGGGAUAGCACACAAAUUCAUGAAGUAUUCCAGAUAGAA